rnacentral:snRNA from 1 species
GUGCUUGGUUUGACAGUUUAGUACUUAAAAUCAGGACAGUACAGGAAAGAUUAGUGUGGUUCCUGCUUAUGGAUGACAUAAAAAUUUGUGAUGCCUUCCAUAUUAAA